AUUGAACGCUGGCGGCAUGCCUUACACAUGCAAGUCGAACGGCAGCAUGAUCUAGCUUGCUAGAUUGAUGGCGAGUGGCGAACGGGUGAGUAAUACAUCGGAACGUGCCCUGUAGUGGGGGAUAACUAGUCGAAAGAUUAGCUAAUACCGCAUACGACCUGAGGGUGAAAGUGGGGGACCGCAAGGCCUCAUGCUAUAGGAGCGGCCGAUGUCUGAUUAGCUAGUUGGUGAGGUAAAGGCUCACCAAGGCGACGAUCAGUAGCUGGUCUGAGAGGAGGAUCAGCCACACUGGGACUGAGACACGGCCCAGACUCCUACGGGAGGCAGCAGUGGGGAAUUUUGGACAAUGGGCGAAAGCCUGAUCCAGCAAUGCCGCGUGUGUGAAGAAGGCCUUCGGGUUGUAAAGCACUUUUGUCCGGAAAGAAAUGGCUCUGGUUAAUACCUGGGGUCGAUGACGGUACCGGAAGAAUAAGGACCGGCUAACUACGUG
rnacentral:rRNA from 1 species